AAGUCGUAACAAGGUUUCCGUAGGUGAACCUGCGGAAGGAUCAUUACAAGGUUCUUAGUGACAUCUCGAAAGAGAUCCCUCCCAAGUAUCCCACCCGUGUCUAUAUACUCUUGUUGCUUUGGCGGGGCGUGGCCUCUAACUGCGGGGCCUCUGGCCUUCGUAGUACCCCCGCCCAGAGGGAACCAAACUCUGAAUGUUAGUGAUGUCUGAGUACUAUAUAAUAGUUAAAA
rnacentral:misc_RNA from 1 species